rnacentral:rRNA from 1 species
GACCAACUGCUCGUCCUACUAACGACGGGGGAGCGCGCAAGCCAUCCCCCUGACUCUCAUUUCGACCUGAGUUCAGGCAUUACCACAAGCU